rnacentral:tRNA from 1 species
GACCCGAUAGCUCAGCUGGUAGAGCACGCGGCUUUUAACCGCUAGGUCGUGGGUUCGAGCCCCACUCGGGUCA